CUCCAUCUGAAUGGUAAAUGUGUUGCGGAAGACACAAACAACAAAAAGUUAAAUGAGAAAAUUAGCCCCAUAUAUCUUCUUGGAAAGACAAAAGCCAAUUUCUUCCUCUUAAUUGUACUCUCUUCUUCUGUCCGUUAAGCUUUUUACCCUUGAUGCCCUUAAAUUGAUAUCAUUAAAUUACUCUUUCUCACACCUUUUUGUGUCCCCAAGUUUUACAAUGCUUCAGCUUUUUCUAUUGGUCAUUGUAGUCGUGACCUCAUCUUAAACAAAAGGCUAAAGAUGGUGAUUCGGAUGUUACUAAGACAUACAUCUUCUCAAAUGGUCAUGAAGCUGCUCCUCGAAAAGUAAUGUCUUCAACACUUGCUCACUUUACCCGUACUCAUGAACUUCUGCAAUUAGUAUAUAUCUUUUAUUUUUCUAUUGUGUUUUUUUAUAUGUAUUUGGGACCUUUUCCAACUAUAAAUGCUAAAAAUUAUAUUAAAUGUUAUUUCUCUUUCCUAUUUUUGUUUCAUGUUUACAUUGAUUAUAGUUGAAAAUAUAGUGCUUUUGAUCUUCGUUUGAAGCUUUUUCUGUUAGUUUAUGGAGUUUCUUUGUCCCUUCAAUUCUUUGGUUUAUAAUUGUUCGUAUUUAUUGACUUUAAGUUUGUUGGUUUUCGCAAGUUGGUUGGUGUAUGAAUUUACUAGAUUUGGAUUGUUUUGUUUUUUACAGAUAUUAUUAAAGUUGUUUCUCACGUGAAUUUUUCUAAGUCUAUUAUGACAAAUGGUAAUUGUAAUUGCAUGAGUCACUAGAGUAACUUGCUUCUUCUUUCUCCUCCUUUUUGAUUUCUCUCCUCUUAUUUCUUCCUUUGAUCUUCAAGUAGUAUAGUUUCUGUCUGUAAAAAAUAUAAUUCUGAAUGAUACAUAAUUUAUAAGAAAAAACCAUUGAAUGUUUCCUUGCUGUGAAUUUGGUCAAAUGUUUUUGUAAUUUGGAAAGGAAAAAAAAUUCUCUCUUUUGUUAUAAAUGCAAGUGGAAAAUAAUGUAUGAAGAAUUUAACUAUGUUUGUCAUGCACUUUUCGACCAAUUAUACUCCUUUAAUAGUCCAUUGAUAAUAUAAUUUUGAUUUUUGUGAAAAAUGUGAUCUAUAUUUUUGUAAUGAAAUAAUAACUACGGGGUGAAAAAAGAAGUAAGGAAUAAAAUUGAAAGAAGAGGGAAAAAGGAAAAGAAGAAUCAUUUGGGAAAGAAAAACAGACUCAUCCAGGGAAGUGCAUUGGUCUUCUCAGGUUCCUUCAGAUCUAGCAUUUUACUUUUCUUGAUGACAAUAGUAGCCAUUUGAAAUUAUUAGUAGAGUUUUCAAGAAAUUAUCAUUGAUACUCAUGGAAACUUAGGAUCUUUUAUUAGUAGAGUUUUCAAGAAAUUAUCAUUGAUACUCAUGGAAACUUAGGAUCUUUCUCCCAUAUUGAGUUUAGUUGUUGACUAUGAAAUUUUUGUAUAUGAUAUAUGCAUGGAAUUUAAUUAAAUUUUGUGAAUACUUUCAUAUUGUCCAUUUAGUUCUUCAAUUGAUUUUUGAAUAAUGAGUUUUUUUCCAUGAAUAACAUGUGUAUGAACUAAUGCUAAUUCCUGGAGUUUUAUUGAUUUCUUAACCCAAAAAGAAAUUAUGUUUUCUUUUUAUCAAUUCCUAUGUUGUCGACUCAUUGUCAUUUUAUUUUCCUUUUUAAUUGUUUUUUAGUAGCGAAAAAACAUACUUAGUCCUAAUUAAACAAAAAUUUAUCUCUAUCAAGACAUGAUUUAUAAGGUCAUUCUAAAUUCCCUAUUAUAUCGUGCGAAGCACGAACACAUUCACUAGUUAUUUUCUAAUUACAUGGUGCUUCUCAAGAGUUAAAAGCCCUCACUAUAUUAGUCUCCAAGACCUGCAAAAUAUUUCUACAAGUGUUAAAAGAAUGAAUAUUAACCACAAAUUGUAUGCCACCAAGUUCCAGAUGAUCCCUAGCAAGUCAUAAACAUGGAAGAUAUGAAUUAUACAGUGAGUGAGCUGUGCGCUCAUCAACCUGUCAGAUAGAGAUGCUGUUGGGAAUACCACGACAGGUAACACCCGGACCAGAAGUAGGUAGCAGCAGUUCAUAUGGAGGAAUGCCAGCACCACUUCGGUUUUUAAGACGAUUAUCCUUGUUUCUUUGGUUGAUGGUGUGUUCUACCUCCUCUAAUUUGGCACAGAAUCUUUCAGAAAUCCUCAAAACUUCAUGAUCAUUUACGGAGAAUCUUUGAAGUUCGUGCACCUGAUGCAAGUAUUCCUCGUCUGCUGAAUGAGUCGAUAAGGUAUCUUGAACAGCCAUCACUUUAGUAGCUUGGAGUUGAGUAGG